AAGAAAUUCUCUUUCGUACGAGCCAGUCUACACUGGGUUUCUCUCUCUUGCAUAAGAGCCCUAACUGAUAUAACAUCCUGUGCAGCGAAUGAGGACUUCUAAUGUUGCUGCCGGCUUCACCACAUGACCAGCCCAUUCUUCUCCGUUUCCUCAAGCUCCCCGCCUGACAAAGGCCAGAGCACAGUCUGGAGGCCCCUCUCCUGCAAGGCAAAGGCUAGCCUGUCUGAUGGCAAAGGCACCUGUAACUGAACACUCUUGGGGUCCACCACCCACACGCAACAAACACUUGUUCAAAAGCUGGAGAUGAAGAAAUGCUUCUUGUCAAGUUUUCUUAAGGCCUCCUUGCUGCUGGUAGCAACCCCCAGGUAAAUACUUGCAUUUCUGCAUUUGCUUUUUUGUCCUGAGUUUUGAUCACAGAUUUUCCCCAGCAAGCACUCCUCCUCAGGUUCUCCCCAAGCCAGCGAGGACCAAAGACCACAAGCAAAGGAUUGUGGGAGUCUUCGCCCUCAUGCUCUAGGGGUAGAUGAAGAACUGACUACUGGAAGUACUGAUACCAAAGGAUGCCAAUCAGUGCUAACCCCAGGUCUUGAGAGCUCAUUUAUAAACAAUGUACACAAGUUAACAUUAAAAAACACAUAGAAAAAGUGCUAUUCAAUUUUAAAUGCAAAUUAAGAUGCUAAUGUAAAUUUACUACUGAACUAACUACUGAAAGUGCUGAUGCCAAUCAGUGUUAACCCCAGGUUUUGAGAGCUCAUUUACAGACAAUGUACACAAGUGGACAUUAAAAA